rnacentral:rRNA from 1 species
UGGGUAACCUGCCUCAAAGAGGGGAAUAGCCUCCCGAAAGGGAGAUUAAUACCGCAUAAUAUGUUUUAGUCGCAUGACUUAAACAUCAAAGGUAUUUUCUUUUAAGAAAUUCCACUUUGAGAUGGACCCGCGGCGCAUUAGCUAGUUGGUGAGGUAACGGCUCACCAAGGCAACGAUGCGUAGCCGACCUGAGGAGGGUGAUCGGCCACAUUGGAACUGAGACACGGUCCAGACCUCCGUAGGGACGG